rnacentral:misc_RNA from 1 species
AAAAUUCGAAAUAUAGAGGGUCAUGUUGCCUGACAAUAAUAUGUUUCUCGCUGGUAUAUGAAACUUGGUCUCAGAUCUGCAGGAUAUCCCUCAAUCAGAUGCCACGAAUAAUCAGCAGGAAUGAGUGUCUUUGACAGUCUUUUUCGAAACCUCAUCCUCACAAGUCAGUUUGUGAAAGGUUGGGGACAGCCAAGUCACUUAAAAAGGUUGUUGGAUUUGAGGAAAGUCCUCUCAGUCCGGGAUGCAGCUUACACUCUUGUCGACAAAAAUCACCAAGUGGACAUUUUGCAUGAGAAGGUAGAAGGAAAUGUUCGAGUGUUAGAGGGGGAAGUUCCACUCCCCAUGGGACAAAAUCAUUCCAGGGGUGAUGCCCAGUGUUGUCAAAAAGUCAAGGUUUCAGAUGAUAAUCCCCAACAGGUGGCAGGGCCCGUCUCGACCAGUGUGUAUUCACCAUGGAGGAACCGGUGACCAUGGAUACCUUAUUCGUAGAAGACUUAUGGCAGAGCCAUUGUUAAAUGACCAUGGCAUUGGGUCGAUCAUUAUUGAGAGUCCAUUCUGUAUCCUUUGCAAUACUAUAGUAGAGCAGAUUAAUCAACUCAGUUAAAAAUUGGAGUGACAGGUUUGCCAUUCAUUAAAUCUGUGAAAGUUUCUCACAUUUUUAUAAACUUACCCACUUAAUUGUUAGUUAGUGAGAUGUUUUCUUUAAUGAUAUGGCAGAUGGUUCAAGGAAACCAAAAGACCAAUUCCGCUCCAGUCUUCAGAAUGUGAGUGACCUAAUUGUGAUGGGCGGGGCACUGAUGUUUGAGACGGUGGUGCUACUUCACUGGUGUGAGGAGGAGGGAUGGGGACCAUUCUGCCUGACAGGAAUCUCUAUGGGGGGAUUUAUGUCUUCUCUGGCUGCCACCAUUUGGCCCAAACCGAUUGGACUGGUUCCCUGUCUAGCUGGUGUUACGGCCUCCCCAGUGUAUACCAGGGGUAUUCUUACUAAAGCUGUGAGAUGGGAUGUGUUGAAGAACAGUUAUUAUGAAGACAAGGAGUAUGAGCAUGAAAUCAGAAAGAAGCUGGAUUCUCCAGAGAAAAGGACUGGCAGAUUUUCUAAAGACUACAGUAUACAAGACUAUCACAGUGAUGUGGAGCGUGCCCUUCAGCGAAUCAGAGAGGCGGGGUCACAGGUUGACGGCAUCGGAACGGCCAUCCGACAGCUGAGGACCGUCAACGACUGGAAGGCCAAGUCAUUCUCUCCUACCUCCAAUAACUUAUCCUUGCUCAAAAAUGACAAAUCUCAACAGCUUAAGUCAUUGGAUGCCGAAAUCAUGGACUUCAUGUUUGAAAUGAUGGAUGAGUUUACUCAUCUCGGAAAUUAUUCUGUACCGGUGGAUACCUCCAUGAUCUUAUCUGUUGUGGCUGAGGAAGAUGCAUAUGUUCCCCGUGAUAAUGUGAUAAGACUGCAGGACUUGUGGCCAGGUUCAAAGGUGAAGGUCAUUCCUGGAGGACAUGUGUUGUCAAUAGUUAACAACAGGCAAUUAUUCAGGUAAGUGUUGUAUGAUGUGGAAACUGUACAAUAUUGGAUUAUGAUCUCUGUAAACACUGCUGAAGAUUUCUUAUGUUUAGUGAGCAAGUGUUUAACAGUUGGUCCAUAUCAACAUUGUCAUAAAUCUAGUUAUGGUACUUGAUUUUUUGAACUUAAUCACAGUUGACAUUUCACUUGGAACAGUUAUAAAUCAAUUUCAUUCAUAAAAUUAUUGAGUUAAUUCCAUAUCAUAUAUAUAGUCUGAUUAUUCAAAAUUUGCUUUGUCCAAAGGUAGAAAAUUUUUAUAAAUGGUUGGAACCAUCUACUUUAACCUCACAUCUAGUU